GUCUCUGUCCGCUCUUCCCUGCCUGGUGGUGAGGCGGCUCCUCGGCCCUGCCUCCCUGCUGAGGGCCGCGUGGGGGGCAGCAGCAGCAGGGACUGGGCGGCCCGACUCCUCCAUGGGGGAGCUGGGCACGCGCAGGGCUCCUCGCCCCAACCUGGCGGGGCCAUUCCGCCCGGGGGGGCGGCGGUGCGGCUCUCCCGCCCGGGGGGGCCCUUCCGCCGCGGCCCCGCACCGCCGGUAGAUGCGGGAGCCGGGUGAGGCUGGCCUGCGGGGGCAGAAAUAACGAGCUUUGUGCAGGUAGCGCCGGGUCCGCCCGCGUGAGGGGCUGGCGGGGGAUGCGGCCGUUGCCUGGGGGACUCCACUCCGGCCUGGCCGGUGCGCCCCGCGCCUCUGAGCGGAGGCUCCCCCCAGUGAGCGCUUGGCUUGUGCACUGGGAGUUGUUAACGGCCUGGCUUGGCAGCGCAGAUAAAUGGUCACACCUGACUGAAAUGCUCAUGAAGACACCUCUUAGGAAUGAAGUGCCUCUGCUAGAAAAGUUCUCAAGAAUGUGAUCAUAAUAAUCAGAUGCCUAGAUGUACUUCAUAGAACUUGCAAGACACUUUGACAUAAAUCUCCUCCAAGAGUGACAAAUUCCCAGGGAAAAAAUGAACAAAAUAUAAGCGAUUCAAACUUGCAGUGCCUGCUUUGGUGAAAGUGUGGUGGUGAUUACUGAUUUCAUCCAUGGUCAUUUAAUUUUCUGUAACAUGUCUUAAACAGUAAGAUAAGUAAUGGCUAGGACAGCACAACAGUUGGUAGCCUCAGUUUGCAUGGUUAAAUUUUUGACCCAGCUCAUGUUUCAGUUCUGAAAUGGAAUAAAACUAGUGUCCUACAUUAUUCAAAGAUGAAUUUGGGGAAUGUUUUUAUACUAUACUCACUAAUAAAGAAUUUUGUAGUACAA